GGGCCGGUCCGGCCCCGAGUUGUAAUUUGCAGAGGAUGUUUCGGGCGCGGCGCGGGUCUAAGUCCUUUGGAACAGGGCGUCAGAGAGGGUGAGAAUCCCGUAUGUGACCCGCGACCAACCCCCCAUGAAACCCCUUCGACGAGUCGAGUUGUUUGGGAAUGCAGCUCAAAAUGGGUGGUAAAUUUCAUCUAAAGCUAAAUACCGGCCAGAGACCGAUAGCGCACAAGUAGAGUGAUCGAAAGAUGAAAAGCACUUUGGAAAGAGAGUCAAACAGUACGUGAAAUUGUUGAAAGGGAAGCGCUUGCGACCAGACCUGUCCGGGGGCGAUCAACCUCCGUUCUCGGGGGUGCACUCGCCCGCGAUCAGGCCAGCAUCGGUUCGGGCGGUCGGAUACAGGCCUUGGGAAUGUAGCUCCCUCCGGGGAGUCUUAUAGCCCUCGGUGCAAUGCGGCCAGCCCGGACCGAGGACCGCGCUUCGGCUAGGAUGCUGGCGUAAUGGUCGUAAGCGACCCGUCUUGAAACACGGACCAAGGAGUCUAACAUCUAUGCGAGUGUUUGGGUGUCAAACCCAUACGCGGAAUGAAAGUGAACGGAGGUGAGAACCCUGAAGGGCGCAUCAUCGACCGAUCCAGAUGUCUCCGGAUGGAUUUGAGUACGAGCAUAGCUGUUGGGACCCGAAAGAUGGUGAACUAUGCCUGAAUAGGGUGAAGCCAGAGGAAACUCUGGUGGAGGCUCGCAGCGGUUCUGACGUGCAAAUCGAUCGUCAAAUUUGGGUAUAGGGGCGAAAGACUAAUCGAACCAUCUAGUAGCUGGUUCCUGCCGAAGUUUCCCUCAGGAUAGCAG
rnacentral:rRNA from 1 species